rnacentral:lncRNA from 1 species
ACCAUGGUAUAGUUUGUGGUCAUUUUCAAUAUAGGCACACAAAAAUGUUUAUUUCAUUAGCUAAAGGAGGGUCUGGAUGUAUGAAGUGGAAAAAACAUCAUUUUUUUAUUAAACUGUUUACUGUAUUUGAAACAGUGAAUAUCUGACCAGAAGGUAUGCCCUAGCAAUUGUAGCACACGCUCACAUGAGCAGCAGUUAUAGUCUUCUGUUUAGCACAUAUGUGCAAUUUGUAGCAUGUUCAGGAACAAUCACGACAGCAGAGAUGCCUGCCAGCGUGGCGGCUCAUCUCUGCAGUACACCACACACAAAGGGCUACUUUGACAGUUUCCUAAAUGUCCCAACUGUCAUCAUUGUAGGCUUUUGGAGGAUAUCUCCUCUUACAUCUGUUUGUGAUAGUUUUAUUGUCAUACAGCUUACACACCAGGAAACCUCAUCCUUGCAGUGAUUCUCGAGUCUGUCAGGCAUGCACUCCUCACAGUCACUCACGUGCUUCCAUCUCCCUUCUAACCCUUUCUUUCUCCCUCUCAAAACAGGAGAUGG